rnacentral:rRNA from 1 species
ACUGCUAAAACCGCAUAAGCGCACAGGGUCGCAUGACCCGGUGUGAAAAACUCCGGUGGUAUGAGAUGGACCCGCGUCUGAUUAGCUAGUUGGUGGGGUAACGGCCUACCAAGGCAACGAUCAGUAGCCGGCCUGAGAGGGUGAACGGCCACAUUGGGACUGAGACACGGCCCAAACUCCUACGGGAGGCAGCAGUGGGGAAUAUUGCACAAUGGGGGAAACCCUGAUGCAGCGACGCCGCGUGAGUGAAGAAGUAUUUCGGUAUGUAAAGCUCUAUCAGCAGGGAAGAAAAUGACGGUACCUGACUAAGAAGCCCCGGCUAACUACGUGCCAGCAGCCGCGGUAAUACGUAGGGGGCAAGCGUUAUCCGGAUUUACUGGGUGUAAAGGGAGCGUAGACGGCGAAGCAAGUCUGAUGUGAAAGGCAGGGGCUCAACCCCUGGACUGCAUUGGAAACUGUUUUGCUAGAGUGCCGGAGAGGUAAGCGGAAUUCCUAGUGUAGCGGUGAAAUGCGUAGAUAUUAGGAGGAACACCAGUGGCGAAGGCGGCUUACUGGACGGUAACUGACGUUGAGGCUCGAAAGCGUGGGGAGCAAACAGGAUUAGAUACCCUGGUAGUCCACGCCGUAAACGA